rnacentral:rRNA from 1 species
UACGAAGGGGGCUAGCGUUGCUCGGAAUCACUGGGCGUAAAGCGCACGUAGGCGGAUUUCUAAGUCAGGGGUGAAGUCCUGGAGCUCAACUCCAGAACUGCCUUUGAUACUGGGAAUCUCGAGUCCGGGAGAGGUGAGUGGAACUGCGAGUGUAGAGGUGAAAUUCGUAGAUAUUCGCAAGAACACCAGUGGCGAAGGCGGCUCACUGGCCCGGUACUGACGCUGAGGUGCGAAAGCGUGGGGAGCAAACAGG